rnacentral:misc_RNA from 1 species
AAUGUGAUGAUUUUUUUUUUGUCUGGUUUAGCGAUUUUGUUUUUGAGUGUUGAUGAAUCCGAUGCUUCGGAUCUGAAGCUUUUGUUAUGUUACCUGUGUAAAUUUUGAAUUUUCUGUUUGUUUCAUGGUGUUUUCUGGUUUUUGUGAAUCGCGAUUUAUAUUUGAUUGUAUCUACCCCAUUUUGUUUAGCGCUCAAGGCUUUUGGAUCAACAAAGCUUCAUAAUUUGUUUG